rnacentral:rRNA from 1 species
GCGUGAGAAUCUGCCCUCAGGAGGGGGAUAACGGUUGGAAACGACCGCUAAUACCCCAUAUGCCGAGAGGUGAAAUGAAUUUCGCCUGAGGAUGAGCUCGCGUCUGAUUAGCUAGUUGGUGUGGUAAUGGCGCACCAAGGCUUCGAUCAGUAGCUGGUCUGAGAGGAUGAUCAGCCACACUGGGACUGAGACACGGCCCAGACUCCUACGGGAGGCAGCAGUGGGGAAUUUUCCGCAAUGGGCGAAAGCCUGACGGAGCAACGCCGCGUGAGGGAUGAAGGCCUCUGGGCUGUAAACCUCUUUUAUCAAGGAAGAAGAUCUGACGGUACUUGAUGAAUAAGCCACGGCUAAUUCCGUGCCAGCAGCCGCGGUAAUACGGGAGUGGCAAGCGUUAUCCGGAAUUAUUGGGCGUAAAGCGUCCGCAGGCGGUCUUGUAAGUCUGUCGUUAAAGCGUGGAGCUUAACUCCAUUUCGGCGGUGGAAACUACAAGACUAGAGUGUGGUAGGG